rnacentral:rRNA from 1 species
AAUCAACGCUGGCGGCGUGCCUCAGACAUGCAAGUCGAACGAUUAAAGCUCUCUUCGGAGAGUGUAUAGAGUGGCGCACGGGUGAGUAACACGUAAGUAAUCUACCUUUGAGUGGGGAAUAACGUCCGGAAACGGACGCUAAUACCGCAUAAUGCAGCGGCAUCGCAAGAUGACAGUUGUUAAAGAUUUAUCGCUUGAAGAGGAGCUUGCGGCAGAUUAGCUAGUUGGUAAGGUAAUGGCUUACCAAGGCUACGAUCUGUAACCGGUCUAAGAGGACGGUCGGUCACACUGACACUGAAUAACGGGUCAGACUCCUACGGGAGGCAGCAGUCGGGAAUUUUGGGCAAUGGGCGAAAGCCUGACCCAGCAACGCCGCGUGAAGGAUGAAGUAUUUCGGUAUGUAAACUUCGAAAGAAUGGGAAGAAUAAAUGACGGUACCAUUUAUAAGGUCCGGCUAACUACGUGCCAGCCGCCGCAGUAAAAC